rfam:Bombyx mori DNA, contig: Bm_scaf94_contig35011, strain: p50T/Dazao, build 2, whole genome shotgun sequence.
GUGGACGUUUAACUUUACGAUUAUGGACUCAGUUCCAAAAGAUAGCUGGUGUCUUAUGUGGGACGAAACCGUGGCGGGUUGAGGUGGAAAUGAAAUG